GUGUACGGCCAUACCACCCUAAAAGUGCCCAAUCUCAUCUGGUUUCAGACGCUAAGCAGGGUCAGGCCUGGUUAGUACUUGGAUGGGAGACAGAUCUUCAGAGGAGAAUGCUCAGAGACAAGCAGU
rnacentral:rRNA from 1 species